rnacentral:rRNA from 1 species
AUUGAACGCUGGCGGCAUGCCUUACACAUGCAAGUCGAACGGCAGCACGGGUGCUUGCACCUGGUGGCGAGUGGCGAACGGGUGAGUAAUACAUCGGAACGUACCUUAUAGUGGGGGAUAACGCAGCGAAAGCUGUGCUAAUACCGCAUACGCCCUGCGGGGGCAAGCGGGGGAUCGCAAGACCUCGCGCGAUUAGAGCGGCCGAUGCCGGAUUAGCUUGUUGGUGGGGUAAAAGCCCACCAAGGCGACGAUCAGUAGCUGGGUCUGAGAGGACGAUCAGCCACACUGGGACUGAGACACGGCCCAGACUCCUACGGGAGGCAGCAGUGGGGAAUUUUGGACAAUGGGGGCAACCCUGAUCCAGCAAUGCCGCGUGAGUGAAGAAGGCCUUCGGGUUGUAAAGCUCUUUUGUCAGGGAAGAAACACCGGCUCUAACACAGUCCGGGAAUGACGGUACCUGAAGAAUAAGCACCGGCUAACUACGUGCCAGCCGCCGCCGUAA